CACUCGUUUACCUUGUAGUUUAUCUUAUGUUAUUGUGUCAAAGCCUGCGGCGACUUCAGUGUCUGGUAUGUGUUGAAUUAUUGCUCUGUCUGUGUCUGUGUCUGUGUCUGUACCACUCGUACAUACAUGUAGUACUACUCCAUGUCUGUGUACUCAUGUACCUUUAUCAAAGAGAAUCAGGAAACGUGAACGUAGAAGAUCCCCAGAAUGUGUGUGUGUGUGUGUGUGUGCGCAAACAACUCCACUAAAUAGAACUUUUAGAGCAGAAAGAGAGAGAGUGUGUGUGUGUGUGUGUGUGUGUGUGUGUGUGUGCAGUGACGGACAGGGAGGAGGUCUUUGAAGUCGUGCCUCUGCCGUUCAUCUCCAGCUCCCUGCCUUUCUGUCCGUGGCAGAGGCCCGGCCUGUGGCCUGUGGCUCCUCCCCACCGCGUCGCCGUGGCUAACAGUUAACAGUCAGGCGCGGCGGAAGC